rnacentral:antisense_RNA from 1 species
GCGGAUAAAACGGUCCCAUCAAGGCUGAGAAAAAGCACACCAGAUAUUGGCACAGCGUGGGCAGUGGGGCCUACAGGAUGACUUAGUCUACAGAGAUCCCGGCGUACUUAAGCAGAUGAAGACUCUUAAGAUGACAGAAGGUGAUUUUUCUGGUGAUCGAGGAGUUCCGGGGUCAUGACAGUGAUGAAAUGCAGGGGACCUGGUUGCCCCCAAGUUUCCUGGCAGUGUGUGAUACUGAGGAGAUUCAUGUUACAUGUAAAGCUGUCCUCAUUUGUGACUAUGGACCUAUGGAGUUGGGACAAUCUCUAUGGGAAGCAGAAGGCAAGGACCCCAGUCAUUUUAGGUAGAAACAACAGCAUGCUAAUGCAAAAAAUUAUGCAGUGUGCUACUGAACUUCAGAGGUGAUCAAUAAAAGAAUAAAAAGACUAAUAAAAGUA